AUACAGAGGGUGCGAGCGUUAAUCGGAAUUACAGGGCGUAAAGCGCGCGUAGGCGGCUGAUUAAGUCAGAUGUGAAAUCCCAGGGCUCAACCUUGGAACUGCAUCUGAUACUGGUCAGCUAGAGUUUAGGAGAGGGAAGUAGAAUUUCAGGUGUAGCGGUGAAAUGCAUAGAUAUCUGAAGGAAUACCAGUGGCGAAGGCGGCUUCCUGGCCUAAAACUGACGCUGAGGUGCGAAAGCGUGGGUAGCAAACGGGAUUAGAAACCCCAGUAGUCC
rnacentral:rRNA from 1 species